rnacentral:snRNA from 1 species
AUCGCUUCUCGGCCUUUUGGCUAAGAUCAAGUGUAGUAAAUAUUUUCAUAACGAUCAGCUAUUAUUAGUAAACUUACCGUAAUUCAGUUUUUCAAACCUAGAUUUAGGACCGAAAAGUUAGUUUGAAAUGAACAUUAUCAGUUUUUCCAUGUAUAUACAUAUUGGUGUAUAAAUU